CAGGGCUUCAAGGAGGCUGUCAGGGUAACCCCAGCCCCGUGCUGCCCCAUGGGCCUGGGUUCCCCAUUCUGCCUCUUCCUCCUCCUUCCUCAUUUAUGUGGACAGACAAUAGGAAAUAAUACCUGCCUCCCAGCCCCAAGCAAUGCCACAGCCUAAGCUCAGGAACUGUGUAAGUUCUGUCUGCUGACACUCACAGCUCGCCACAUUGGUCUCACCCAACACAGACCCCAGCCCCAGCGGACCAUGCCCACUGGUGACGACAAACACCACUAAGGUGCUUACCGAGAUGCCAGGGAUCAGCACAAGCUUGGAGGAAGCCUUCCUGACCACUGACCUUGCUAAGACCACAGCACCAGGCCGCCUUUCUGUGGAGACUCCAACCCUGGGCACUGAGACCCUUUCCAAGACCUUAACCUCAGCUGCCGCUGCUUCCAAAGAAGAGACCAAGGACACUCGGACCAUUUCCCUUGCUCAGACACCUGGGAAGUCCAGACCACCUUUUCCUGUCACAAAGUUCAGGGACACACAGACCCCUUUCCCUGACACAGAAACCAGGGACCCCCAGACCACCUCCCCUGUCACAGAUACCAGAGACACCCCAACCAUUCCUUCUGCAUCAGAGAGCAGGUAUACCCAGACCAUUUCCCCGGCAUCAGAUUCCAGCACACUCACAAAAAUAAUCCCUUCUGACCCCAUGGCUGCAAUCACCUUCCCUGUAGAGACUUUGGCCACAGGCAGCAGCUCCAUGAGGACUAGAGAGACCACAGUUGAGGCUCAUCCAGGCAGGAACCCCAGGAAAGUCAUCUCUGACACCCUUUAUACCGAUGACAGCUCUGAGGAGGCAAGAUGGAUCACAACCAACAUCUUGACACUGGUGCACACCACUGGGGAAGCUGAGAGCCUGUCCUCCUACAGCAGAUUUUCCUCAGACAACUCUGUGGCCAUCAUCACCACCUCCCAAGCCCUGGGUCCUGACAUUGCCACCCCCAGCAAGGCCUUGGCCCCUUCCAGCACUACCCACAAUAAGUUCCUCAGGAAGACAGAAACAGCUGCCGUCAUCUCUGGGACUUCAGACACAGAUCACAGCUCCACGGGAGUGAAGGUCUUGUCCACCUCUGAGACAUCAGUUUUGUCUGCCUCCACUGAGGCAAAGUCACCCAGGCCCAGCCCCACAUCCCCUGCUGAGACCCUGUCCACAGCCAGUGCCUCAGAGUUAGCCACCCCCAACACCACCCUUGAGGCCUCACUGCCCAAUAGCACCACAGAAACAGAAGUAACACCAGGCUCGACCCCUACCCCUGGGGAAACUCAGGUGACAGUUAGCAUGGCCCCCUUGGGAGAAACCUCAGCCCUCUCUCAACAGAGCUACACCACGGUGUCAGGAGCAGUUACAGUCUCCGCCAAGGCUGCGUCAACAGUGGACGAAAUGACUUCCUCUGCUGGAUCUCCAGCUUCAGUCUCCAGCUUUUCAGAAGGGCCCACCGUCACGAACUCCACCCUUUCAGAGACUUUUACCACAGAAGACACAACCAGCAGAGCUGUCUCCACCAGCAGGGGCCUUUUUCUUUCUGUCCAUCUGACUACAGCCAGCAGCAGCCAAGAGACAAACAUCUCAGCCAUGACCAUGACCUCACCAAAAACCCCUUCAGAGACUUUUACCCCAGACAGGGCCUUCCCCACCAGCAGCUCUCUUUCUCCUGUCCAUCUGACUACAGCCAGCAGCGGCCAAGAGACAAGAGUCACCUCAGCCAUGACCAUGACCUCACCAAAGGCCGCUUCAGAGACUUUUAUUACAGAGGGCACAACCAGCAGGGCCUUCUCCACCACGAGCAGCCCUCUUUCUUCUGUCCUUCCAACUACAGCCAGUCUCAGUCAAGAGACAACCGUCAUCUCACCCUUGACCAUGACCUCACCAAAGGCCCCUUCAGAGACUUUUACCACAGAGGGCGCAACCAGCAGGGAUUUCCUCACCAGCAGGAUCUCUCUUUCUUCUGUCCUUCCAACUACAACCAGCAGCAGCCAAGACACAAGAGUCACCUCACCCAUGACUGUGACCUCACCGAAGACCCAGAGGAAGCCCCCAACAGCCAUAUCCUCCACUGUUUGGACAAGGCUGACUCCAGAAGUUACUGCAGGUGGAGAUGGAGGCUUCCUCCUCAUGAGGCUGAGAGUGGCCUCCACAGAAGACCUCACAGAGCCUACAAAGGCAGAGAGGCUGGUUCAGCAGGUGAGGGGGCACUGUGGGGGCCCAGGGUGUGAAGGGAGAGGUUCUUGGGACUGCAGGAUGCAGAAGAGCAGUUACAGCAUGGAAGGAUCCCUGCCUGGCUUUGCUUCUGCCUGGCUUCCCUUCCUUCAUUCCUCUUCUCUGCAGUGGAAACAAACUCCUCUCCCCAGCCCCAGUUUCUUCAGGUCCUAGGAAGUACAGGCCUUCUCGUCCCUGAGGGGAAGUUCAGUGAUACUGAUGGGCAGGUAAACAGGACUCUUGUUUGCAAGUGGCAGAAACCCAACUUGUAGUAGUUCACAUGGAAAAGGCAGGUCUGCAAAACUGAUAGGUGACUCUUCUGGCUUCAGCUAGAGCUGAUUCCAGUAGCUCAAACAUGAUCAUGAGGAUUUUCUCUGUCUACUCUCUCCCAUUAUUUUUCAGACAGAGAUGUCCUCUGUACAUUCACAAGACACCUCCGUAUUAGUCACUUUCCCAUCACUGGGACAAAAUGCCCAGUAGUUGCAACUGAGAGGUUUAUUUGAUUUGUGGUUUCAGAGGGCUCAGAUCAUGGCGGGCUGACUCUAAGGUACAUACAUCAUGGUGGAAGAGCAUGGUGGAGGAAAGCUGCUCACUGCCUGGCAGCCAGGCAGCAGAGAGGGAAGGGAGGAGUCAGGGACAAGAAUUCACCCUUCCAGGUCAUGUCCUCAGUGACCACCCCCUCCAUCAACCCCACCUCCUCACAGCACAUGAGCUCAUCACUAGGAGUAUAGCACCCGGUGAUCCAGUCGCCUUCCACAAGCCCCACCUCUGAACACAUGAGGCUUUGGGGGGACAUUUAAAUCUGAGACCCUGUGUCAAAGCAAAAAAUGAAAAAAGGCUACUGAGUAGCUCAGUGAAAAGGCCAAAAAAAAAAAGUUGUCAAAGCCGUAACAGUUUCAACACUGCCGAAAAGUCCAAGGCCAAAGUCUCCUCUGAGAUUCAAGGCAAACUCAUACCUGUGAGUCACUUCAAACAUAAAUGUUAAAUACUUCCAAAAUACAACAGCACAGAACAAACAUUCCCAUUCCAAAGGAGAGGAACAGGGGGAUAAAAAUGAAGUGGACCAAAUCAAAAACAAAACCCAGCUGGGCAGACAUUACGUCCCGAGGCUCCGUGUCUGUCAUCUGAGGCACAUGGUGGUGAGAUGUGAGUUCCAACUUGGGCAGCCUCACGGCUAUGGGUUUGCCUGUUGCAGCCCACAUAGCCUCUUUCUUGGACUGACUACACUCACAGCCUGCUGCUUUCUCCAGUACACUGUCCAUGUUCCUGGCAGCAUCUGGGGAAGAUCUUCAGGGUCAUUAAUGGUAAUGUGUCUUUCAUUGUAAUAUUUUUAAAAAGUAUUUAAACAUUCACCAUAUUUUUUUGUCACACUCUAUAGAUUUGGCCCAGAUGAAAUAGAGAUACGAGGUUAAAAAAAAAAAAAAUCAACAUAUGCUCUAGAUGCGGACCAAGAUUGGGAUGUAUUUGUAUAGCAAGUUGGGAAAAUUCUCUUAAACUCAGAUUAUUGGACAGUUUCCAGUGGUGACAUUUUGGGAUCAGAGCUUUGGGCAAUGGUGUGAAACAUUGGAAGGUUAGACUGGGUCAGGCCAGUGCAGAUGUCACAAAGGAAGAGGUGCAGUGUGAAGCAGUGGGAGAUGUCUGAGCUCUGCCCACAGUGUCACCAGUGAGAACCGACCCCAGGCAAGUCUAUUGUGAUUGUCCCUUUGACAGUGGCCUAUGGCGCCCCACAGCCGUCCACGGUGCAGGCUUACACCAUGAGGAUAUGGUGACCCUUGGCAGAUGGAGGCAGAGUAUACUCAUUGUGAGUAGGAUCCUUCAUUGCAGGCAAAAAAGGAAAAAAAACCACCCACUGUCUGUCAUAAGUAAAGGGGGGAUUUGUUGAUAGGAUCAUAGGUGUACAGAAUCAACGGAACUCCAGAGGAGCAGGCUUGAAAAACAAGUAGGAAGCACACUCCUGGGACACUGGCACUCCUGCUGGCCACAGACACUAUUGGAUGCAGCCACAGUCAGUGGACAUCACACUGCCUCACCCACUAUGCAGUCACCUGCUUCAGAGUCAGAGCCCUUGAGGGCCAGGGAUUUAGCUCAGUGGUUCCGCCACCUGCCUCAAAGCGCAAGGUCCUGAGUUUGAUCCCUGGUACUGGAAAAAAAAAAAAAAAUAUCAGAGCCCUCGAUGGGAACAUCCAAUCAGCUGAGCUUAACUCUGUGCCCACAAACCCCUUCCAGGGCUCCUCAAGUUCCCUUCAUGGCAGGGAGGCCCAUCAAGACUCCCCCAGUGAGGGCCUUCCCUAAUCAAGGCUUUUGGGGGUUUGCUGUGAGACACCCACAUGUGUGACAACUGCCCUCUACUCAAGAAAAUCAAAGUAGUAACCAGUGUGAAUGGAGACAAAGAGGGAAGCCUGGGUCAAAUGUCAGAUCUGAGCCUACAAAUUGGAAAUUAUUUCAGAUCCCAGGAGCCAGGGAGACCUGGAGCAGUUCAGGCAGCUGAGGUGCAGGCAGCAGGCCAUGCAGGGCUUGAGCGUGUGUGAGGGGAGAGCCAGUUGCUCAGGACUCAACUCAGGGACAGAUACAUGGUAUCAGUCAGUGCCAUGAUCCAGGUCCAAACCAAGGAAUGGAGAACAUGAAGGGAAGAGGGAACAAUGGGUCCUACUUGCAUUACGCUUUAGGUCGUGGGGCCAUGUAGACCUGGGUGCGAAUUCCAGUCCCUACCUGUGUAACCUUGGGUAAGUUCUUCCCUUGUAAAAUGAGGAUAAUAAAACCUGCUUUACAAGGUUGGUGUGAGGUUUAAAUGACAUAAUGACACUGGAGGAGUGUUGUGGAUGCUCCCUCCUGCUGUCCUCUCCUGCCCUUGGCCUGUGGUAAGCUCGUGGACCAGAUGGGCUGGACUAGCACCUGUCUCCUUCCGUCUCUAGCUCCAGUGUGAACUGCAAGCCAGCUUGCCUGUUGCCCAACUCUCCUUACUGCAUGUCCAGAGAAGCUGAAGAAUAUCAGCUGCAGCCAGGCGAGUCCCCUGUGCCAGAGGAACAACCCAAAAGGAACUAUACCCUGAGCCCGCCGACAGACUAGAGCUGCGUGACUGUGCUGAUGUGGACCCAGAAAGUUCCCACGAAGGUCAGCUGGUUCAACCCCUUACCCGGAAGUGAUUGCAGGAUCCUGGCUCACUUCUGUGUGGAGAAGGGGCUUCCCCUGUGCCCAGCAGUGUCCUUCACUCCCUGGGCCCAUGCGUUAUAGUCAAUAAAGACAGACCUGAUCCCUCAUCCCUGCACUUCUAUGUGUUCUGCAUACUGUGAGCAUUUAGGUCACAUAGCUGUCUUAGUCACUUUUCUCAUCGCUGGGACCCAAAACCUGAAGGAGGAGAGGUUAUCCUGGCACAUGGUUUCAGUGCAUGGUCAGGCAGCUCCAAGGCAGGAAGGCCUGGUGGAAGAGGCUGGCAGAGGAAACUGUUCACAUCACAGCAGCCAGGGAGCAGAGUGUGAAGAGAGGAGCCCAAGAGGGAGAUAAACCCUUUCUCAUCACACCCUCUGGGCCCUCUCUUCCUACAAGGCCCCAUCUCCUAACGGCUAGUCAACUAUGGUGCCCCCAAGAUCCAGUCACCCCGAAGCCCUGUCUCUCAGCACGUGAGUGUUUGGGGUGUCAUUCUGGAUCUAAAUCACAAUACAAGUAGGAUCUCUCUGGCCUUCAUGGUCGCCGCUUCUUGGCUUGCACCUGGAUCAUGGCACUUACUGAGGCCAGCCCUACAGUCUGUUGAACCUUGAGUUCUGUGUUAGUCCUCUUAUUGGAGAUAAUUAAUUCAUUAAGAGAAAAGAUUUAUUUUGGCUCACAGUUUUGGCAUUUCCAGUCUGAGGUCAGGUAGAUCUUUUGCUUUGGGGCUCAGGUGGGCUUGCUGAAUGGCAGCAGUGGGAUGAUGGAUGCGUGAUGGAGGUGACUGCUCAGCUCAUGGCCAGAAAGCAAG
rnacentral:lncRNA from 1 species